AUUGAACGCUGGCGGCAUGCCUUACACAUGCAAGUCGAACGGUAACAGGUCUUCGGAUGCUGACGAGUGGCGAACGGGUGAGUAAUACAUCGGAACGUGCCCGAUCGUGGGGGAUAACGAAGCGAAAGCUUUGCUAAUACCGCAUACGAUCUACGGAUGAAAGCAGGGGACCGCAAGGCCUUGCGCGACCGGAGCGGCCGAUGGCAGAGUAGGUAGUUGGUGGGAUAAAAGCUUACCAAGCCGACGAUCUGUAGCUGGUCUGAGAGGACGACCAGCCACACUGGGACUGAGACACGGCCCAGACUCCUACGGGAGGCAGCAGUGGGGAAUUUUGGACAAUGGGCGAAAGCCUGAUCCAGCCAUGCCGCGUGCAGGAUGAAGGCCUUCGGGUUGUAAACUGCUUUUGUACGGAACGAAAAGACUCUGGUUAAUACCUGGGGUCCAUGACGGUACCGUAAGAAUAAGCACCGGCUAACUACGUG
rnacentral:rRNA from 1 species